rnacentral:tRNA from 2 species
UUAAUUGAAGCCAAAUUAGAGGCAAAUUAUUGUUAAUAAUUCCAUUGAGCCCCCCCCUCCAAUUGAA